rnacentral:rRNA from 1 species
CAGUAGCCGCGGUAAUACGAAGGGGGCUAGCGUUGUUCGGAAUUACUGGGCGUAAAGCGCACGUAGGCGGAUAUUUAAGUCAGGGGUGAAAUCCCAGAGCUCAACUCUGGAACUGCCUUUGAUACUGGGUAUCUUGAGUAUGGAAGAGGUGAGUGGAAUUCCGAGUGUAGAGGUGAAAUUCGUAGAUAUUCGGAGGAACACCAGUGGCGAAGGCGGCUCACUGGUCCAUUACUGACGCUGAGGUGCGAAAGCGUGGGGAGCAAACAGGAUUAGAUACCCCAGUAGUCCCUGUCUCUUAUAU